GCGUCAUGGCGGAGAGGCGACAGAAGAUCAGCAGCGGCAAGAUGGGCGCGGCGCUCUUUGGUGCGCGGUGCACGAUGCGGUAUGAGAUGGACCUGCAGUUCUUCAACGUCAGUGGCAACAGCAAGAUGGUGUCCCUACGUAAGUUCCUGCCUAAGCAUGUCCGGUAUUCAGCAUGAAAAUCUGAAAGAAGUAAAUGUUUUUUUCCCCUAUUAUUAUGCAUUACAAACCUGGGUCGUCAUGCUUGCAUGUUACCAAGAUGAGUUGUUUCUGAAACCUCCAAGAAUUCAGCUGGCUCCCCGAAGUAGAGUAAAUCAAUCUGGAGUGCAUAUCGGCACCCCGAAAAUUCUUCAGAAGUUGUUAAACCCCAUCACUGAUGAUUUCGUGUAUCAUGUUCAGGGAAGAAGAAAAACCGUGCGUUCAUCAUCAUUGCAACAGCUUACUCUUCGGCAGUCCUCUGUACACGCUUGUUUUUCUGGCUGCUAAGCGUCCGGAGGAAACAGAAAAGUAAGCUUAGUAUAGUAUUUUUAUAGCCAAAAAGGAAGAAAAGAGAAAACUCUAUUCUAAUUUCAUGUAAAACUAAUGGAGAGAUGCACAUUUAGGGAAAAUGAACUUGAUGGAGGAGCCCGAGAAUAUGAAUGAAAUUCUGAGACAAUGGAGGAUUGAAGAUGCUAGUUUGGAGUUCUCAAUGUAUGAUUUCUCUCAGAUUGCUGAUGCUACAGACAACUUCUCACCCAGAAAUAUACUAGGAGAGGGUGGAUUUGGCCCAGUUUACAAGGUAUUUCCUUGCUAUAAUGCUAUUAGUAUGUCAUGCAUCAAUAUAUUAAAAAGCUCCGUAUAUGAUGAAUUUUGCAGGGAGUAUUUCCUGAUGGACAAGAGGUAGCAAUAAAAAGACUGUCUGCUCGGUCACGACAAGGUCUAAUAGAGUUCAAGAAUGAGAUCCAGAUUAUAGCAAAAGUUCAGCACAAAAACCUUGUUAGACUGCUUGGUUGUUGCAUUCAUGAAGAAGAGAAGAUGUUGAUUUACGAAUAUCUGACGAACAAAAGCUUGGACCACUUCAUUUUUGGCAUGCCCUUACUAUAAAAUGCUCAUUAUUUCAUAAUUGCAUUUGUUCUCAUAUGC
rnacentral:lncRNA from 1 species